UUUCAGGAGAAAUGAUACCAGCUUUUUUUGUACCUCUGGUAGAAUUCAACUGUGACUCCAUCUGGUCCUGGGCUUUUUUUGAUUGGGAAGCCAUGUGACUUCAUCCUCCGUGGCUCUGGUGGUCUCUUCGACAUCUGUGAGAUACUCACUAAAAGCUGGUUGCGCUUUGAGAUCUGGGCGCCUGCUGGAACCUGGAGCCACAAGUCUUCAUUCAUGCUAAAGAACUCCUGUCUUGGUGGAGUGGCUCGGCUGGCCCGUGUAUGGGAACCCAUGAGGCUGUCCGCGCAUCCCGAAGUGUGACCUUCCAGGCCCACAGGGUGGCUGGCGCUGGGCUUCUUCGUGGCCCGCGACAGUCCGGCCACCUUCAUCGGCCAGUGGCGCACGGAUCUGGGCGACUCCGAAGUGCUCCGCGAGCUGGCAAGGGAGACACUGGGACUCUGCACCCGCUCAGCUCCCCAAGAUAAAGGCCUCGGAGGGGAAGUUCCGCGUGGGAGACUCCGGCCUGUUGGUCUCUGUGCUGGUGCGGGGGAGCCGCGUGACGGCGCGCGUGGGUGUGGCGACCCGCUGGAGCGCUACCUGGACCGUCAGGACCCGCGCUGCCGCUCCUCCACUACCCACUGCCCGCCCCCGUCGAGGGUCCGCACCCUGUCCCCGCAGAGGGUGUCGCCCACCCCUAGCCCCUGCCCUGGUAGCCUGGUCCCCUCGAGAGAGCGCCGGCGCUCCGGGCCCUAGGUGACCCCUAUUCGCUUACAAAGCAUAAAGCAGGUGCCGAGGCUCCCAGGCCCUGGGAUCAGCUGCCCGCCGCAUCCCCGCUCCUACUCCGAGGACAGUGACUCCUCAGCUUUCUCAGCCCAGAGCCGCCCCCUUGGUGCCCGCAGCGAGGAUGAGGCACUAGGCCCGGAGGAAGCGAUCCAGACGGGGGCUGACCACCACCACCUGGCCUCUCCGAGACGGCCCCCUGCCCCGCGCAGCCAGUCCCGGGACCGGCUGGAUCCGGGUCAGCCCCGGGGAGCUCCAGAAGAGAGAGGAGGGGAGCCCAGCUGCGGGCCCUCAGCCCUGCCCCGUGGGCGCAGGAGCAGGUUGGGCGCAAGGAUGGAGAUGGGCAGCACUCGUGGGAGCCACAGGGCAGGGGCAGCGGGGCUCGGGCAGGAGCACUCCUGGGCUCUCCGUGCCCACCACCCUGAAGCACCCUGGCUUUCCCAGUCCAAACCCAGUGUAGAGUUUAGCACCACACGCGCCAGCGUCUUCCGCACACACCAGAGCAGCUGCUCUGACGCCUGGACGAGGAGUUUCUGGCCAAUGCCGGGACCCAUAAGGCUGUUGCUAGCGGGACCUCCACUAGACCAGCCCCUAACCGGGCUCCAGCCCCAGACCCUCUAGCUCCUGACUCGGCCUACAGAUCCUCUAGUUCCUCCUCUUCAUCCCUCAUUCUCUUGUAUGGCAAACGUGGCCAACGUGGGGACUCUGGCCUUAAGACCAAUGGGCUGCCCGGCCCGCUGUCAAGCCCUUCCCAGCUCCUCCUCCAAUGAAGGAAAGCCCUGCCCUAGCAUGGGAGGGGCUACUAGAUGCACCUGGGAGCCCCCUGACUGGUCCAGAACACUCGAGGACCUGAGCACUGGGUAGGAUGGACACACAGCCAGACUGCAAACCCUCGGGCAUCCCCAUGCCUAGGGUCUCCCCCGGGUUCCUCCAGACCCACAGAGUUGGGGGGUGCGGGGGGAAGGGGAAGGGAGCUUGCAUGCCUCCAGCCAGGUUCCUGGACCAGACCAGCUGCCCCCAAACCCUGUCCCUUCUCCUUUUCGUUUGUGGCCUUAACCCUCUUUGCAUCAGGGGGCCCCCUCUGCCUCUUGCGUUCCUGACCUCAUGGGACCAGACUCCUCAGGAAUGUCACAAUGGGACCUCUAUUGUACAUUACAGUUGGGGGAUGAGCUUUGCUAUUUAAUUACUAAUAUUAUUGAAUGCCUUAGAGGAGGCCAGAGCAGCCUGGUAUCCUGAGGACACGUGGCCCAGCAGAGCCUCUGAACAGUAAAGUUUUGCUCCAGCCAAAAUGAGAGAGAGAGAGAAUCUAUUAAGUUAGUUUAACCAGAACCCCCCUUAUCCCUGAUGCUUCCUGUUAGUAAUUUUGUAUCCAGUGACCCCUGUCCCUUGGCCAUAAAUUCCUACUUGUGCUUGUUCUAUUUGGAAUAGAGCCCAGUUCUGUACUGAUGUCUCUUUUCCCCAACUGAGAUAGUUUCUAAAUAAAAUUUGCCUUUGCUGCUUUAA
ensembl:lncRNA GAS2L1P2 growth arrest specific 2 like 1 pseudogene 2